rnacentral:rRNA from 3 species
CUACCCGCUGAACUUAAGCAUAUCAAUAAGCGGAGGA